rnacentral:rRNA from 1 species
UACAGAGGGUGCGAGCGUUGUCCGGAAUCACUGGGCGUAAAGGGCGCGUAGGCGGCCUGAUAAGUAGGGGGUGAAAUCCUGUGGCUUAACUGCAGGGCUGCCUCCUAGACUGUUAGGCUCGAGCACGGUAGAGGCAGAUGGAAUUCCCGGUGUAGCGGUGGAAUGCGUAGAGAUCGGGAAGAACAUCGGAGGCGAAGGCGGUCUGCUGGGCCGUUGCUGACGCUGAGGCGCGACAGCGUGGGGAGCAAACAGG